rnacentral:lncRNA from 1 species
GGCGAUCUUUCUCUUGAAGUCAUGAGUUUCUCAUCAUCGUCCAUGGAUUCUUUAGAUGAACCAUUAUCACCCCUUUUCUCUUCAUCAGCGUCUGAGCUUGAUUCGCUUGAAUCAGAAUCAGCUGAGGAAGAAGAGAUUGAGAAUUUGAAGAAUUCAUCAUCUGUGAAACUAUUGGCAGGAGGAGGCCUAUUUCCUCCACCAAUUUCUUGCUUAAACUUAUUCAAAACAGGGAGACCUUGCACAUACCUUUCUUUCAGUGAAGAAGAUGGUAGCUUUGCCCUUGAGAAGAUAAGAAUCCCUAGGAGAGACAUGUUUAUUGCUAGUAGAGAAGAUGGGAGGCUGAAGCUGUUCUUUCAUCAGGAAGACCAAGAAGAAGAUGAUGAAGAGGAAGAGGAAGAAGCAGGAGACGAUCAAGAAGAAGAAGAAGCAGAAAAAGGAGAAGAAGAAGGAGAAGAGAAGGAGGAGAAUUGAUCAAAUGAAGUCGUAAGUUAAAGAGUGUUAUGGUGUUUUCUUGAGCAAAUUUGUUUGGUAGUGUGUGUGCGUGUCUUGAGAGACUUUGCUUCUAUGUUUUUAGAUUUGCCUUUGCCUUUGAAUGAUGUUGUUUGCCAAAGAAAAAUUAGGCAAUUUAAUGUUUUCCUUAAGUUAGAUCUAAAAGAAAAAUUCUUCUUCAUUCC